rnacentral:rRNA from 1 species
UACGUAGGGUGCAGGCGUUAAUCGGGAUUACUGGGCGUAAAGCGUGCGCAGGCGGUUUGCUAAGAGAGAUGUGAAAUCCCCGGGCUUAACCUGGGAACUGCGUUUCUAACUGGCAGGCUAGAGUGUGGCAGAGGGGGGUGGAAUUCCACGUGUAGCAGUGAAAUGCGUAGAGAUGUGGAGGAACACCGAUGGCGAAGGCAGCCCCCUGGGCUAACACUGACGCUCAUGCACGAAAGCGUGGGGAGCAAACAGG